ACGCUCGACACCUACAGGAGGCAGCAGUGGGGAAUAUUGCACAAUGGGGGAAACCCUGAUGCAGCGACGCCGCGUGGAGGAAGACGGUCUUCGGAUUGUAAACUCCUGUUGUUGGGGAAAAAGAGGAUGGUACCCAACAAGGAAGUGACGGCUAACUACGUGUCAGCAGCCGCGGUAAUCUGAGCGGGCUGGCAAGGC
rnacentral:rRNA from 1 species